GGCCCCGUAGUGUAGUCUGGAUUGCAUAAGAGCCUCCGGAGCUCUAGGCUUGGGUUCAAAUCCCAACGGGGUCG
rnacentral:tRNA from 1 species